rnacentral:lncRNA from 1 species
UUUGAGGACAGCCAGGGCUACACAGAAAGACCCUGUCUCGUAAACUUAAAACAAAACAAAAAAAGGAUAGGUUCUUCCUGUGUAGCCAUGGCUAUCCUGGCCUGUAAUUUGAGAUGUCGACCAGGCUAGCCUCAAAGGUGUGGCAAUUCUCUUGCCUCUGCUUUCUCAGUGCUGGCAUUACAGGCCCGAGCCACCAUGCCUGGUGUCUAUCAUGUAGCUUGAUUUAGUUAGGAACAGUUCCAGCUUUGGUUUGGUUUCGGCUGAUUCCACAUGGAGUAAGCCCAGCUUCCCCUUCCUGGCUGCAGCCUUUCAGCAACGGGCUAGUGACCGUGAUGGUUCCCCAGCUGCGGAGGGAGAACAGCCUGCUCCUGUGGAACGCGUCUGACUUGAACGCUCCAGUUCACACCUUUGUGGGUCAUGAUGACGUGGUGCUGGAGUUCCAGUGGAGGAGGCAGAAGGAAGGUGAGUGAGUAGGGAGGGCUGUGCUCUGAUUUUCUCCUGAGCUCUGCUGGACAUCUCUGCCAGUCAUGUUGUCAUAGUGAACUAGCAGACCAGGGCUGGCUCUAGGGACUGGAAUGGAAGGCAGGCAGGGAGGGAGGGCUGUGUUGAAUUAGAGAUGAAUAAACAGAGUGUGCAACAUUUUCCCUCUCCCUAGUUCUGUUCUCCAACUUCCAUUGUGUCUCUCUUGCUUGGAAGAGAUCCGCUCCAGGAAGAGGUUGAAGAGGUGGUUUUUAUUUUGGUUUGUUUUUUUAAUCAUUUCAAGGGCCAAAGACUUUAGAAUCUUCCAGAGCCAAGCCAUAACAAUAGCAAUUUUUAAAAAAAGAUUUAUUUAUUAAUUUAUUUUAUGUAUGUAUACGAGUACACUGUAGCUAUCUUUAGACACACCAGAAGAGGGCAUCAGAUCCCAUUACAGAUGGCUGUGAGGCACCAUGUGGUUGCUGGGAAUUGAACUCAGGACCUCUGGAAGAGCAGUCACUGCUCUUAACUGCUGAGCUGUCUCUCCAGCCCACAAUAGCAAUUUUUUUUUCUUUUUUUUAAAAUAUUUUUAUUAGGUAUUUUCCUCAUUUACAUUUCCAAUGCUAUCCCAAAAAGUCCCCCAUACCCUCCCCCCCCACUCCCCUACCCACCCACUCCCACUUUUUAGCCCUGGCAUUCCCCUGUAGUGGGGCAUAUAAAGUUUGCAAGUCCAAUGGGCCUCUCUUUCCAGUGAUGGCCGACUAGGCCAUCUUUUGAUACAUAUGCAGCUAGACUCAAGAGCUCAGGGGUACUGGUUAGUUCAUAUUGUUGUUCCACCUAUAGGGUUGCAGAUCCCUUUAGCUCCUUGGGUACUUUCUCUAGCUCCUCCAUUGGGGGCCCUGUGAUCCAUCCAAUAGCUGACUGUGAGCAUCCACUUCUGUGUUUGCUAGGCCCCGGCAUAGUCUCACAAGAGAGAGCUCUAACUGGGUCCUUUCAGCAAAAUCUUGCUAGUGUGUGCAAUGGUGUCAGCACAAUAGCAAUUUUUACUGUGGGGGUUGCUGAUGCCUUUAAUCCCAGCACUCAGGAGACAGAAGCAGACCAUGUCUGAGUUCGAGGCCAGCCUGGUCUACAGAGCCAGUUCCAGAACAGCCAGGGCUACACAGAGAAACCCUGUCUUGAAAGCAAACAAACAACAAUCCUCCCCGAAAAAACCCCAAAACUCAUAAAACCUUAACAAACCAAUAGCAGUUUUCCACCUACCCUCUUCCUCUCCUCCUUGCCUUCUUCUCUGACUACUCAGUCUGUCUGUCUGUCUGUCUGUCUGUCUGUCUGUCUGUCUGUUGGUUCUGGAGAUUAAACCUAGGACUUGCUGCUAAGGUAUACCCCUGGCUUUCACUACCAAUUUGUGAAUCCCUAAAGCUGGUUUGAAUUUGUAUGUUUUUGAGCUUUCCACAAAUUUAAUUAUUCUGACUGUAUGCUUAAAUUCGACCUUCUUCCCGACCUACUGUUGCUUUGGUAUAUUUUUACUAUCAUGUCUUCUCAGUGCGUUUUUGUUGGAGCGAGCACCUCAUGCCUUUGGCUUUGGUCGGCACUGUGGGAAUGGAUCAGGACGUGGCAGCUAAGGGAAUAGGAAAGAACCAGUAGUCAGAGGGUUGGGUGUUGCUGAAGGAUCACAGUGAAGAGAGAGAAAAACAUGUAAUUGAACAAAAAGGAAGAUGUUUGGUCAUUAGGAGAGAAAUUGCAAAGCAGGCUGAGGCUAGAAGCCAGAUACCUAGGUGGUAUAAGGGAGGCAGCAGGAACUGCUGGCUACGCCCAGGACAAGGAGUAGAAUGGAGAGUUGGUGAAGGCAGGAAGAGGCUGUGUGAAGGAAGUCAGUGGUGAGAAGGACCCUUGGGAGUUCGAAUGGCAUGGAAAGUGCAGGGAUUGGAGCUGAAUUUACAGGACACUCAGGUCGACCCUGUCCUCAAAGCCCGUGCAUGUGAGGACAGAUGUUGGAUCGAAGCAUUGAUGCCCAUGAACAUGAGACAAGAUAGUGGGGUUCAGCAGUGAUUCAGAGAGGCAGAACUAAAAUACUGGAGAAAAUGCAGAGAAGGGACUGAUGUGGAGACUCACCCUAGUCCAGAGCCCACUUACCCUGUUACUGAGUACAGAGCAUGUUGUCUGUUGCCUCAGUUUCCCCAUGUAUGAAGUGAGGGAAUUGAGUGAAAUUUAUUCUGAAUUCUUUUUUGUGUGAAGUUGGCCAGGAGGGAGAUUGCAGAUGCUCUGGAGUUACCCUAGUAUCCUCAGGCUUUAUAAGCUGUUUCGUGGAGCACCCUAAACUUUUGAAUCAUCCCUUUAGACCCAGUAUCUAAAAAACACGAUUCAGCUGAUCAAGAGAAUUGAAAGGCUGAGUAUUUACUUCAUAAAGAGAUGUAUCUUUUUACCAAAAUAGAAAAAACAAAAACAUUUUGAACAAUGAGAUCCCACGAUGCAUAGAACACAAUUAUUUUUACACGCCUACGAGCUCCUUGGGAGCACAUUUGCAGAGGUGAAAGUUUAGGUGACACUAGGUCUUAGUGUCACACUCUGUCUGUUAAUUUGUCAAUUAUUCUUUCACUUCAUUUAUGUUUCUGCUUUUUUGAGACUUCCCCAGGGAGUCCUAGCUGAAGAGCCUCUGCUGUUAUCUCUCCUGCUGCUUAUCACCAGGAUUUUAUUAUAUGUUUAUCUGCUGGUCUCUUCCCACCAUUGGAAUGGGAGCUCUAUAAAGCUAGAUAAUCUCAUUCAUGCCACUGUUUGGGGCCUAGGCAGGUACCUGUCAGACUAAGGUGUGUAGUAACUAUUUGUUGGUUGUAUGUACUAUGAAUGAAUGAAUGAAUGAAUGAAUGAAUGAAUGGAUGAAUGAAUCAUACUCCACUGCUGUCUAUAACAAAAUGGAUGUCAAAUCUGAAUGAUUUUUUUUAAAAACACAUUUUAUUGAUUUGUUAUGAGUUUCACAUCAUGGGCCCCAGUCUCUCUCAUCUCCCUGUCUCCUCACCUUCUGCCCUUGCAACUUGGUGUCUAAAAUAAAACGCACACACAAACACAAAAACCAAACAAGGCAUAGAAAACAUCUCAGUCUGGGAGCUAUAGUGUGUCACAGUGUGUCCCAAAGUAUACCCCUCUGUCCACACAUCAUCAUUUACAAAUGUUAGUUACAGUCAGUCAUUGGUCUGGUUCAAGAUCUUUGACUUCUGUGAGACCAACAAUAUUGAUUCAGUGGAUUUUUUUGUUGUUGUUUUUUUGUGUUUUUUUUUUUUUGGUUGUUCGUUUUUUGUGAUUUCUAGGAUCCAAGGACUAUCAACUGGUUACAUGGUCCCGUGAUCAGACCUUGAGAAUGUGGCGAGUGGACUAUCAAAUGCAGAGGGUAUGUAUUCAGUGGUAUUAUAGAGAAAUAUUAAGUGGAUGCACUAGAAAUUUAACCAAAAGAU